UGCAUGACUAAUUCAACAUUAUAACAGGGUCCACCUGGCCCCAAAGGUGAUAAGGGGGAUCAAGGCGACCAGGGACCACGGAUGGUCUUCCCUAAGAUAAAUCAUGGCUUUCUUUCUGCUGAUCAGCAACUCAUUAAACGCCGACUCAUUAAGGGUGACCAGGGUCAAGCAGGGCCCCAGGGCCUCCUGGACCUCCAGGUCCUCCAGGCCCCAGGGGACCC